AGUCCCUUCAUCCAGCCACAUUUGAAGGCCGACAUGACAAUGCCACACUGGAAAUGCGGCCUUAUCAACUAAUCUGCACUGUGAAGCUUUGAUGUUGCAGCACCACUUAUUUUCUGAGGCUGAUGCAUAAAAAUCGUCACCUUUUAGAGUUGAAAGCUCCACAACCAUGCACAUCACACGCUCUCACUCUAUUGUUGUGGUGACCAGCACAAAGGACACUCCAGGCUCGAACUACAGAGACAGGCACCUCUCCACCUCCUUCACUCUCACAUCAGAGGGAACAUUGUCCAGAGCAGACAAGAGAAGCUGUCACGAUGCAUCUUGAGAGACAGAUUGCGAUGAGCACUGCUUCUGACAUGUGAGGCAGUCAUGGUGCAGGGGAUGGAGGAGCAGAGCAGAAGUUGACACUUAACAGUACCAGUAUGUUCAGUGGGUUUUUGUCCAUAUAUAUAUAUUGCGGGCUUGUAGAUAUUACAGACAUUCUGAAGUUGAAUGCUCAGCAUAAUGAUGUGAAUUUAAAAGGGCACAGGACUGUGAGACUGCAUAAAGGGGCCAUAUAGGAUAGGCAGUCUUUACUCUUGUUGCUAUGGAUGCGACUGGUGUCAAAUCUCAAACAGCACGUAGUUAUCAAAUGUGCACUGUCACCGUAACCACAUCGAUCCCAUUAUGCCUUUAAUACACACUUGGGACUAUAUUUACUGACAAAAUCUCACAAAGUUUAUGGCAGAAAUCUGCAUGUAUUCAGCAUUUAAUUUACUAAGGCAGCAACUCAUUACAAAAUGAGUUGCACCUGGGGCAGACAUCCAGAUUCAUCUUACUCAGUUUAGCACAGUUCAGAUGGGAGAUUUGUCAAAAUUCACCAAGCUCAGAAAUAGGACAGCAAAUAAAGAUUAUUUUUAUUAUUGAUUAUUCUCUCGAUUAUUUUCAUGAUAAAUCAUUCGGUCUAUAAAAUCAGAAAAAGAAAAAAAAAGGCACAAUUUCGCAAACCCCAAGGUGAUAACUUCAAACUGCUUGUUUUGUCUGACCAACGGUCCAAAACCUGAAGAUAUUCUACUAACAAUAAUAGAAAACAAAGCAAAACAGCUACAGUAAAGAAGUUGUAUGUAAUGUUUUACAUUUUUCUUCAAAGGUCUUAGAAACGAUUAAUUGAUUACUAAAAUUGUUUGUGAUUAUUUUCCUGCCGAAUCGAUUUAAAAAAUGUCUUAAAACAAUUGAAUAAUUGACUAAUUGUUUCGGCUGUAUAAAUAAUAACAUAGUGAUCCUCCAAAACAUUUACUUCAUUUUACUUCAUUGCCACCAUAGAUAUUAAAUUACACAUAAAAUGAUAAUAUCACAAUAUUUACACUUAAUUAUAAUGCAAUAGGUAGUCAAGCAAAUUUUGUGAUAAAUAAUAAAGAGAUGGAAUAAUUUUUAAUUACUUUUAGAUAACUGAUUCUGAGCAGCUCUGAUAUAUAAUUUUCCACCACAGCCUUUCUUGUGGCUCUUUUAAAUCUGAU